rnacentral:rRNA from 1 species
UACGUAGGGGGCAAGCGUUGUCCGGAAUCAUUGGGCGUAAAGAGCGUGUAGGCGGCCCGAUAAGUCCGCUGUGAAAGUCCAGGGCUCAACCCUGGAAUGCCGGUGGAUACUGUCGGGCUCGAAUCCGGAAGAGGUGAGUGGAAUUCCUGGUGUAGCGGUGAAAUGCGCAGAUAUCAGGAGGAACACCAAUGGCGAAGGCAGCUCACUGGGACGGUAUUGACGCUGAGGAGCGAAAGCGUGGGGAGCGAACAGG